rnacentral:rRNA from 1 species
UACGGGGGGUGCAAGCGUUGUCCGGAUUUACUGGGCGUAAAGGGCGCGUAGGCGGCUUGAUCAGUCGGACUUUUAAGAGCGGGGCUCAACCCCGUGGUGGGUUCGGGACGGUCGAGCUGGGGCGCGGUCGAGGGGGAUGGAAUGCCGGGUGUAGUGGUGAAAUGCGUAGAUAUCGUAAGGAAGACCAGUGGCGAAGGCGGGUCUCUGGACAGUUCCUGACGCUGAGGCACGAAGGUCAGGGGAGCAAACGGG